rnacentral:rRNA from 1 species
GACGAACGCUGGCGGCGUGCUUAACACAUGCAAGUCGAACGGCUCAGAAGAGCUUGCUCUUUUGAUCAGUGGCGAACGGGUGAGUAACACGUGAGCAACCUACUCUUGACUCGGGGAUAACAGUUGGAAACAGCUGCUAAUACCGAAUACGACCGCGGCCGACAUCUGCUGCGGUGGAAAGCUCUGGCGGUCAAGGAUGGGCUCGCGGCCUAUCAGCUAGUUGGUGAGGUAACGGCUCACCAAGGCUGAGACGGGUAGCCGGCCUGAGAGGGGGACCGGCCACACGGGGACUGAGAUACGGCCCAGACUCCUACGGGGGGCAGCAGUGGGGAAUAUUGCACAAUGGGCGAAAGCCUGAUACAGCAACGCCGCGUGCGGGAUGACGGCCUUCGGGUUGUAAACCGCUUUCAGCUCCGACGAAGCGCAAGUGACGGUAGGAGCAGAAGAAGGACCGGCCAACUACGUGCCAGCAGCCGCCGUAAGAC